GUCCCCGUAGUGUAGCGGCCAAGCACGCUGGACUUUCAAUUCGGUAGCGCGGGUUCGAAUCCCGUCGGGGGUAC
rnacentral:tRNA from 1 species